GACGAACGCUGGCGGCGUGCCUAAUACAUGCAAGUCGAACGCAGGGGGGACGGGUGAGUAACACGUGGGUAACCUCCCAUCAGAGGGGAUAACACUUGGAAACAGGUGCUAAACCGAUACUGAUGGAUGGAGCCGGGGUGCAUUAGCUAGUUGGUGGGGUAACGGCUCACCAAGGCCACGAUGCAUAGCCGGCCUGAGAGGGUGAUCGGCCACACGGGGACUGAGACACGGCCCAGACUCCUACGGGAGGCAGCAGUAGGGAAUCUUCGGCAAUGGGCGAAAGUCUGACGCAGCAACGCCGCGUGAGUGAAGAAGGUUUUCGGAUCGUAAAGCUCUGUUGUUAGGGAAGCGGUACCUGACGAAGAAGCAACGGCUAACUACGUGCCAGCAGCCGCGGUAAUAC
rnacentral:rRNA from 1 species